rnacentral:lncRNA from 1 species
AUUAUGUUGGCACGCACAAAAACAAGUACAAGUAGUUUCAUCAUCCUGCAACCUUCCUGAUAUACGCCCUUCCAGGAAGGGCAUCUUGAGAUCGGCCGAGCAAUUCAGAAUACCCAUGCCAUCCUCCGGCCUUCAUAGGUGGAGGCACAGAUGCCUUUGCUAAAGGUGGAGGCAUUGGCGACUUUGAUAAAUGUAGAGGCGCAGACGCCUUUGACAUAGGUGGAGGCACAGACGCUUUUGCAAGUGACCUGCCAGAGCUUACUGUCAUAUUUGCUAACUUCUCACUUGCAUCCGAUACCCCACGUGCUUUCCCAUGGUUCCAUGCUGCUGUUGCAGGUGAUAAACCAUCAAUAUACAUUCUCAC